UUUCUAUUAGGACACCAGUCAUAGUGAACCAGGGCCCUCCCUAUUGACCUUAUCUAAACUAAUUAUAUUUGCAAUGACCCCAUUUCCAAAUCAGGUGAUUCCAGGAUACUGAGUAUUGGGACUUCAACAUAUGGAGUUUGAGGAGACACAAUUCAACCCAUAACAAAUGGCAAGAAAGCAGGACACAGUGGGUGAUAUAUUCAUGAAAGUUACCAGUAUGAAUAAGAACAAGACCUAAAGGCUUUAUGUGCAGAUGAAAAACAAAGCGUUGAGAGAACAAUAGCCAAUAAAGAGAUGUGAAUGUUGAUGGGAGGAGAAUGUGUGUCAGUCUUAGCAUUAUAAUCCUGUAGGGUUGUGGACAGCCAUUGACAUCACUGUGUUUUUGCACAAUCAAGCAGUAUUUGGGAGAAAGUCUGUGCUCUUUUCUCCUUGACUAACAACAAAACCAAUUGAUUUAGCCUAAUAUAUUUGUACUGAAAUUUAUUUCCACCAGUUAUUUACAUUUUUAUUUUUAUUUAUUUUUCUUUUUGUAGAAAUGGGAUCUCCCUGUGUUGCCCGGGUUGGUUUUGAACUGCUGAGCUCAAGCAAACCUCCUGUCUUGGCCUCUCAAAGUGCUGGAGUUAAAGCAUACCGGGGUUCCCUUUGCUCCACAUCCUCGCCAGCAUUUGUUAUUGCCUGUCUUUUGGAUAAGGGCCAUUUUAAAUGAGGUGAGAUGUUUCAUUGUUGUUUUCAUUUGCAUUUCUCUG
rnacentral:lncRNA from 1 species